rnacentral:lncRNA from 1 species
GCAACAGUCAAAAUGCUACUAAGAAGGAAAGAGAGCUAGAUGAACCAUCUGGAGCGAAUUCUACAGCCCACGAGGACUCUGGCCCAUGUGACACUCAUCUGUCUCAUUGCCUUCUAUCAAAGUAUACGCCUGCUUUGUCCACAGACUGUGGAUUUUCUAGGCACCAAGGUUGCUCCAGUGGCUCCGCAGCUGCCUGCUCCUCCACCUCAAGACAGCUCAUGCUACAAGACUAUCGGGAGGAAUGUCAUCCAGGGGCAGCAGCUCGUGGCUGCUUGUGAGGGCACCUCUGCCUCCUGACACUGAAAUCACAGUCAGCACCCAUGGGGAAAGAAAGAGACUGUCUGCAAUAGGUCAGGCCACUUUGCUUAUUUUCCUUUUCUGAUCAGUGAUAUCAGAAGGAUACCAUGAGGUACCUGGAUUUCAGCAAGGCAUUUGGAAGCACGGAAUCUUAAAAUCAGUAGAUACCUUACAGAGGAGAUGUACAUCGUUGAACUGGAGGCAAACACACAGAGAAUAUGAUGGAACGCAACAGCCUUGCUCACACAAGUUUGUCAUACAAUCUCUGCAUAUUAAGAAUCUUAUUUUAGUGGUUAACUCA